rnacentral:rRNA from 1 species
CCAAGGAUGUUUUCAUUAAUCAAGAACGAAAGUUAGGGGAUCGAAGACGAUCAGAUACCGUCGUAGUCUUAACCAUAAACGAUGCCGACCAGCGAUUAGGAGACGUUGAAUACAAAACACCACCAUGCGCAUUGCGGUCGUCUUUGGUGUCGCUCACAAGGCGGCACCGGGGCGGCUUAGCUCGCAUGGCACCGGUGAAU